rfam:Ovis aries breed Texel chromosome 2, whole genome shotgun sequence.
UUCCUGGCAGUCCAGUGGUUAGGACUCAACACUUUUACUGCCAGGGCCCAGGUUUGAUCCCUGGUCAGGGAA